GUAGGUGGCAAGCGUUGUCCGGGAAUUAUUGGGGGCGUAAAGCGCGCGCAGGCGGUUCUUUAAGUCUGAUGUGAAAGCCCACGGGCUCAACCGUGGAGGGUCAUUGGAAACUGGAGAACUUGAGUACAGAAGAGGAAAGCGGAAUUCCACGUGUAGCGGUGAAAUGCGUAGAGAUGUGGAGGAACACCAGUGGCGAAGGCGGCUUUCUGGUCUGUAACUGACGCUGAGGCGCGAAAGCGUGGGGAGCAGACAGGAUUAGAUACCCUGGUAGUCCACGCCGUAAACGAUGAGUGCUAAGUGUUAGGGGGUUUCCGCCCCUUAGUGCUGCAGCUAACGCAUUAAGCACUCCGCCUGGGGAGUACGGCCGCAAAGGCUG
rnacentral:rRNA from 1 species